rnacentral:rRNA from 1 species
GCCUGUUUAUCAAAAACAUAACCUUUAGCUAAACAAGUAUUAAAGGCAACGCCUGCCCGGUGAAUAGUUUAACGGCCGCGGUACCCUAACCGUGCAAAGGUAGCAUAAUCAUUUGUCUAUUAAUUGUAGACCUGUAUGAAAGGCAAAAUGAGAGCCCAACUGUCUCUUAUAACAAAUCAAUUAAACUGAUCUCCUAGUACAAAAGCUAGAAUACUAACAUAAGACCAGAAGACCCUGUGAAGCUUUAACAAACCCAUUAAACCAAAUAAUGAUUACUUUCGGUUGGGGCGACCUUGGAAUAAAAAAGAACUUCCAACAACAUGACAUCACUCAUAAAACUAAGGCAAACAAGCCAAUAUUAGAUCCAGCAUAGCUGACAUUGAAAUAAGUUACUCCAGGGAUAACAGCGCUAUCUUCUUCAAGAGCCCAUAUCAAAAAGAAGGUUUACGACCUCGAUGUUGGAUCAGGACAUCCCAGUAAUGCAACCGUUACUAAAGGUUCGUUUGUUCAACGAUUAACAGUCCUACGUGAUCUGAGUUCAGACAGGACG